rnacentral:rRNA from 1 species
GCCCUUGUAAUUAUCAAAGGUGCAACCUGCCCAAUGAUUUUUAAUUAAGUAAGAAUAACAAUCUUAUAAUAAAAUUUAAAGGACGCAGUAUCUUGACUGUGGUAAUGUAGCAUAAUCACUCGCCAUUUAAUUAAUGGAUAGUAUGAAUGGUUAAACGAAUGUCACACUGUCUUUAAUAAAAAACCCAUGAAAUUAAAAUAAUAGUUAAGAUGCUAUUUAAAACUGUAAGACGAAAAGACCCUAUAGAGCUUAACUACAUUAUUUCUUAAAAUAAAAAACUAAAAAAUUUUUAAAAAAGAAAGAAAGGUAGUUUAGUUGGGGCGACUAUCUUCUAGAAAAAACGAAGACAAGCAAUGUUAAUGAAAAAACUUAUUGUAUAAUAAAUAAAUUUAACAAUUAUUAAAAUAGGCCAUAAUGACCCAUUAGGAUUUAGUAAUAAACCUAAUGAUUAAUAAAUAAAAGCUACCUUAGGGAUAACAGGAUAAUUUUGUUUUAGAGAUCAUAUCGAAAACAAAGUUUGUCACCUCUAUGUUGAAUUAAGAUAUCCCGAUAGUGCAGAAGCCAUCAAUGGUAGGUCUGUUCGACCUUUAAAAUCUU